UGGAAAAGUUUGACUAAAUGUUACUGUGUCCUGUUUGUAUAGAGCCUUUCUAUGUGUUUCACUGCAGUGUCUAUAGCUUACAGCAGUCAUAGAAUGUAUAUACAGACAUUUCUUAGCACAAAUUAAGUUCAACAUAAGUAACUAAAGAGAACUUCAAUCUUUCUUGCGAGCACAACUUCAUCACUUACAUAAAACAGUUUGCAUUGUAAACUAAGAAAAUCGUAUUACAUCACCACUUGGAUCUUGAGUCAACACCUAUGUAUUAUUUAACUGUUCCAUAUGCCUCAAUGUGUGAAACAACCAACUGGAGAUCUCAUCAACCAUACACUGUGUGUCAAGAGUUGGCUGACUUUAUAGUGUGACCCUGGAGUACUACCUCUUUCCUUCAGAGUACAGCUUUUUGGUGCAAAUAGAGUCUGCUACAGUUGUUGGUUAACCAGCAAAUCUGACUGCCAUAUUAAUGAUGCAGGAUGUGGAAUUGGUAUAGCCAAUGGUUGUGUUUGCUUGAGGACCAGACUGUGGUAAACCCCACUUGAAGAAAACAAGGAUUCAUUUGGAAGAGAAGUACCACAACAUGGCAUUAAUGACUUCUAUAACCUGCACAUGGUGGUGAAGGAGGUAACGCUUUGUGAGUGAUAUAGAGCAAAAGACCAAAGGGGCAGAAUGGCAAAGGAAUGUAUUGGUUUCCAAGCACACCAAAGGUGAUCAUGUGAAAAAGCGACAGACACUACAGAUGUACCAUCACAUGCUGUGUUACACAGUUAUCAGAAGAUGCAGACGUUUUAAUCUACUAGGAGCUCCUACUGAAAGUACAACUCAAAGACUUAAAGGGCCACAGGCAAAAUGGGUCCGGGUUGAGAAAAAAUUUCAACUGCAUCUGCAUUAAAAGACAUCUCAGCACCAGAACAAUUUAACUAAGACAUGGUUAAAAACUUCACAGCAACCACUGAUCUCAUCAUUUCGAAGAAUGUGGACGACAAAAAUGAGUUCAGUGAAGAUCCUUGCAAGGCUUUAAUAAAAGUAAACAUUCCCCCGAAUAAGUUGGAGAAUGAAGCAUUAAAGACCUUCUUGAAAAAAUACACAGGAAAACAUAUUCAUCAUGAGUCAACGCUAUUGUAUGAAAAGACAUUGGAGAAUGUUAUGACAGAAAUUGUCGAUUCUCCAGUCUGGCUGUCCGUUGGCGAAACUGGUCGGUAUAUGGUGCACGUCAUAGUUGGAAAACUCUCUGCUGACAAGGCUGGACGAGGACAUAUCAUAGUGUAGAAAGAAGUGGAACGAACGACACACGCCACGAUUGCACGCACAGUGCAGGAAGCAGUGUGCGUGCUAUGGAGAAGUGAGGACCAGAAACGUGGGGAGAACAAGGUUUUGGCCAUUGUGAUGGAUAGUGCCGGAUAUAUGCUGAAGGCUGCAGAGUGCCUCCGGGUGUUUUACCCUAUUUCACCUCACGUGUCUGGCUCAUGGCAUCCAUCGAGUGGCAGAAAAGGUCAGAGCCGCAUUGCCAGAGAUUAACAGCGUUAUAUCUUCGGCAGAGAAGGUUUUCAUAAAGGCACCGAGUGAGAGCUUUCAAGACUGCUCACCGUGACUGUCCUCUGCCACCUGAACCAGCCUUGACGGGGUGGGGAACGUGGAUUUCAGCUGUAAAUUAUUAUGCAGACAACCUCAGAAAAGUUGAAGAGGUCCUAAAGGACUUUGAAGAUAGCAAAAACAGCCAUUACAAAAUCUAAGGACGCCCUGAAGAGUUCUAGCGUGUUACACAGCCUAUCUUUCAUCCCAGCGCACUUUGGUGGCCUUCCAGACCUAACUGAGAAACGUG